UAAUGCUUGAAUUGUAUUUUGAUGGUUGGAUUGUGGAUAUGGAUCAAGACUCAUUACUUUGAUAUUUGAAGAAAUAAUUACUUCGAUAUAAGGGUAUUAGUUAUAGUUAACUGUAUGACUCACGUUAUAUUGAGCGAACCUCACAAAAGCAUGCCAUAAAACAGAAUAUUAGUAUGUGAAUGCCUUCAAAUACAGAGGCUGCCAACAUUUCCUAAUUAAUCACCCACACCAAAAAUAAACAGCACAUUAGACUCAAAAUAUAGCAUCAUAAUCAGGAAAGAAGCAUUACCAAAUAAUGCAUCUCCUUGCUCCGCAUGAUCAAACUCAUGUGUUUGUUUUAGCUUUCUUUUUAGCUGUGCUGUUUUUCUUGGUCUGUUUCUCGUCAUGUGUAGGCAAAUCAAACACUGGAGUAGUCCGGUCCACAUAGUAGAUGGAAGGGCUAAGGAUCCGAUGAGUCCAGUUCCAGGUACUCAGCGUCGUGGCCACGAUGAUGGUGGCGACAAGUUCACCAGAUCACACGUAGCGCACAGCUACUCAUCAGGCAGCUUGGGGGAGCUGCAGUUCGGAAACAUGAGCAUCAUCACUAUGCAUACCUGCUCUACACUAUAUCUAGUACAGAGAUCACUUUCAAAAAACAAAAACUGCCACCAAACACAGAGAAAGAUGAUCACUACCUAAUUUACACAUACAUGCUCUCCAAGUGUUUGAUGAAA